rnacentral:rRNA from 1 species
GGMGGCRGCAGUGGGGAAURUUGCAYRAUGGGSGCAARCCUGAUGCAGCAACGCCGCGUGAGGGAUGACGGCCUUCGGGUUGUAAACCYYUUUUAGCAGGGAAGAAGCGAAAGUGACGGUACCKGCRGAAAAAGCGCCGGCUAACUACGUGCCAGCAGCCGCGGUAAUACGUAGGGCGCAAGCGUUAUCCGGAAUUAUUGGGCGUAAAGAGCUCGUAGGCGGUCUGUCGCGUCUGCUGUGAAAANCCGAGGCUCAACCUCGGGCCUGCAGUGGGUACGGGCAGACUAGAGUGCGGUAGGGGAGAUUGGAAUUCCUGGUGUAGCGGUGGAAUGCGCAGAUAUCAGGAGGAACACCGAUGGCGAAGGCAGAUCUCUGGGCCGUAACUGACGCUGAGGAGCGAAAGGGUGGGGAGCAAACAGGCUUAGAUACCCUGGUAGUCCACCCCGUAAACGUUGGGAACUAGUUGUGGGGUCCAUUCCACGGAUUCCGUGACGCAGCUAACGCAUUAAGUUCCCCGCCUGGGGAGUACGGCCGCAAGGCUAAAACUCAAAGGAAUUGACGGGGACCCGCACAAGCGGCGGAGCAUGCGGAUUAAUUCGAUGCAACGCGAAGAACCUUACCAAGGCUUGACAUAUAGAGGAAACGUCUGGAAACAGUCGCCCCGCAAGGUCUCUAUACAGGUGGUGCAUGGUUGUCGUCAGCUCGUGUCGUGAGAUGUUGGGUUAAGUCCCGCAACGAGCGCAACCYYCGUUMUAUGUUGCCAGCACGUAAUGGUGGGAACUCAUGGGAUACUGCCGGGGUCAACUCGGAGGAAGGUGGGGAUGACGUCAAAUCAUCAUGCCCCUWAUGUCUUGGGCUUCACGCAUGCUACAAUGGCCGGUACAAAGGGCUGCAAUACCGUGAGGUGGAGCGAAUCCCAAAAAGCCGGUCCCAGUUCGGAUUGAGGUCUGCAACUCGACCUCAUGAAGUCGGAGUCGCUAGUAAUCGCAGAUCAGCAACGCUGCGGUGAAUACGUUCCCGGGUCUUGUACACACCGCCCGUCAAGUCAUGAAAGUCGGUAACACCUGAAGCCGG